rnacentral:lncRNA from 1 species
NUGGCCGCCUGCCUCCUGCACAGGAGGAGGAGGAGGGAGGACCGGGUGGAUGGCGCCGGGCCGCCUCGCCGGGGAGAAGCCUUCUGGGAACCUUCGUCCGGUGAGGACAGCGCAGCUACAAGUGACAGUGAUGACAGCAUGACAGACCUGUACCCGCGUGAGUGGGACCGGCCCCCCCGCCCCCGGACGUCCAGUGUGUCCUGAGCCUGCAGCCAGCAGGCUCCAGCCUCCUUCCCUCCCACGUCGUGUGCUCGGGCCCUCGGUCCCGGCUGCGCCCCCUCAGCCCCGCGCAGACGGUGACGCGGACCUAAAACUGCCCAUCCCUCCGUCCCUCUCAGCCGAGGUGUUCACCAGAAAGGACCCGGGAGGGACUGAACACGGGGACGGCACUGAGGACUUUCUGACCGAGGGGGAGGACGAGAGGCCAAGGGGCCUGACAGAAACGGGCCCUGGGGGCGGAGAAGAGACGCGAGGGGACCAGGAGCCGGUCCUCAAGCGCCGGAAGGUGAGUGGCAGCUUCCCCUGCCGACGGUUCUCCGUUUCCUUACAAAACCUGUUUAAAGAACCUUUCUGUGGCAGAUAAAAUGCCAAGCUAACGUUUCGGGAGUAAACUAGAAGCCGAGGCUGCUUUGGCCUGACGGGGCCAGGGGCUGGCACACGCCGCAGGGGCCCCGCGGGAGGGCCUCGUUAGGCCGGGCCAAGGUUCCGUCACCCUCGGGUCUACAGGAGAUCGAGAGCUCGCUGGGGGCGGGGGGUGCAUUUCAGGGAAGCCACGGGUGGACAGCUGGCCUGACUCGGGGGCGCCCCUCCGAGAGGACGGGGAUGGCUCACUAACCGGAGCUCCGUGUUCGUGUUCCAGAGGCAGUUGGGCUCAGCGAAGAAGUUCAGACGUCACCACCGUAAACCCAAGAGCUUCAGCUCUUUUAAACAGUCAGGUUAAUAAACGGCUGCCGGAGAAAAGCACAUGCGGAAAGCUUUUCCAGAGUCCUUCAGGUCCUCGAGCCCGGGUCCUCUUCAAGCCACCUGCUGUGCGCCCUCUCAGCCGAUGGGGUGGGUGUCUCCGGGUCCCCUCCAUCCGCUCACAUUUGCUGCCCCC